CGGGGCGUAGCGCAGCCUGGUAGCGCGCCAGCUUUGGGAGCUGAAAGUCGUGGGUUCGAAUCCCACCGCCCCGACCA
rnacentral:tRNA from 1 species